rnacentral:tmRNA from 1 species
GGGGGCGAUCCGGUUUCGACUGAAUGAGCGGAACGCAGAUGGCAUGCCGAGGACGACCGUUGGCCUCGCUAAUCACCGGUCACACUAGUAACUGCGAACGAAGAACUCGCACUCGCUGCCUAAUUAGCAACGACGUUCCCACUCCGACGGACGCUAGGGGAUGGGAACGAAAGCAGCGUCCUGGCGUUUGGAGCAUAGCCUGCGCUCCUGCGUAAGAAAACAGUGGGCCUAGUCUGAAGGGAAGCCUGUCCGCCGGCCCGCCCCAAGGACGAUAAACCCAAUGACGGAACAAGCAUGUAGAAGUCUACGGAAAGUUUGUCCAGGACGCGGGUUCGACUCCCGCCGCCUCCACCA